rnacentral:lncRNA from 1 species
CAAUUUUCAUUCUUACAAAAAUUUCUACUUGGUAAGGAUAAGAAAGACUGUGCAUGAGUGAGGGAUCUAUUGUCAAUGAUCCAAUUUCAGAAAUCAUCAAUCCAAGCCAGGAUGAUAGAAAAACAACACUAUUGAAAUUGAACAAGCGUCCGAAGUAAGGAAUGACGAAUGUCUGAGUUGUAGCCAAAUCUUUGGUUCUAAACUCUUAUUCUUUCAAAAUUUUAAUAUAUAUUUUUUAUAUUUGAAACUGAUAAGA